rnacentral:rRNA from 1 species
GAUAAACGCUGGCGGCGUGCCUUAAACAUGCAAGUCGAACGAUCACCGCAAGGUGGUAGUGGCAGACGGCUGAGUAACACGUAAGUAAUCCAUCCUCGAGUGGGGAAUAACUGCGAGAAAUCGUGGCUAAUACCGCAUAGGCUCGUGGUCGCAGAAGUGGCCGAGAGUAAAGCCGCAAGGCGCUUGAGGGAGAGCUUGCGUCCGAUUAGCUAGUUGGUAGGGUAAAGGCCUACCAAGGCGACGAUCGGUAGCUGGUCUGAGAGGAUGAUCAGCCAGACUGGGACUGAGAGACGGCCCAGACUCCUACGGGAGGCAGCAGUUAGGAAUUUUGGGCAAUGGGCGAAAGCCUGACCCAGCAACGCCGCGUGGGUGAGGAAGGUCUUCGGAUCGUAAAGCCCUUUUCUGUGGGAAGAUGAUGACGGUACCACAGGAGUAAGCAUCGGCUAACUACGUGCCAGCCGCCGCCGUAAGAC